UCAUUUGGCAGGAGUCUGGCUUAUGCAUUGUCACUUGGAUGUUCACAUCGGUUGGGGUUUAGCCACGGCUUUCAUAGUAGACAACGGAGUUGGGGAAUUGGAGUCUCUAGAGCAUGCUCCUGCAGAUUUGCCUGUGUGUUGAUACCAACAACAUAAUCACUGCUCAAGAUUAGUCCAAAGCGGCCAAUAAUAGGGUCACUAUUUUUCUGAUCAUAGUAAACGAGUUCCAUGUUGGUUUCCCCGCAUUCGGGGCUAGUUCUUUCAAUUUUUAUUUUUGAUAGAUAAACAGGGUCAAGAAAAAAUUGGUUUUCUGCUUGCAACCCAGAGCACCAAAUCAGUUAGGAUUAGACCCGAUAUGUUUAUUGAUUAUUGGUAUUUUAACGAUUUUCCUUCUAUAAGAUUUGCAUCGCGUGGCAAACACAAGUACACUAUUCCUAGACCAAGUGACAACAAUAAGAUUCACCAUGGAGAUAUUAAAGAAAUUAAGCAUUUUACUCAGCGGGAUGGAAAGAAAGAGAGAGAGAGAAGAAUAAUCAAACAAGUAGAAAUAAAAAUAAAAACAAAGAAGAAACUAAUAAAAGCCAAAGAAUCCGAGAGAAUUUAAGAGCUAGACAACAGACUCCAAAUGCACGAAAAAUAUCAACCAUUCCCACAGUAAAAAAUUUAAAUAGCCUCACUACCACUGAAACAGUACUCACGUGUCUUUUAAUUCUCAGAUCUGAAUGCCAUCCAGUAGCACAUCUGAAUAUGAAAAGUUUAAAGCACAAAUUUGAAUAUGAAAUGUUUGAGAAACAAGUAAGAAGGCUGAGAAACAGAGUCACAGUAAUGUUCAAUCAAAGCCAAAGAUAUAUAAUGCUACGUUUAGAACUUAAUUUGAAGGAAUGGAAUUAAGGUAGGAAUGGUAAGAGAAUGAAAUGGAAUGGAAUAAGUCAUUCCACAACCCCCUAAUAACUAAAAAAUCAACAAUUGGUAUUUGGUAGUAAUUGAAAUGGUUUAAUUCCAUUCCAAUGGAAACUACCAAACACAUUUUUUCUUCAUUCCAUGGGAAUGAGCCAUUCCAUUCCCCCUUUGAUUCUUGCAAACCAAACGCAACAGAAGGGUUGUGAAUGUGAAAAGUAGUGGUGAUCAGUGAUUCAAAUAAAUCUUAAAGUUUGUUAACAAAGAAAAUGGCUUGAUUUAUUUAGUCAUCUUCGCUGAUAGUCAAGUGCUUAUUACAGUAAUGGUUAAAUGAUAAAUUAGAAUAAAAUAAAACUGUUAAAAAGAAAGGCCAACAAGCUCAUAAAUCUAAAACUACAAAUGAUAACACAAACGAAGACUUGGUUUCGUUACAAACUUACAAUGGACUAUCGGAAUGGUAUAUUAUUUGCUAUGACUUAAAAUCAUCUACUAUCCAAAUAGUCAAAAUAACCCAUACAAAAGUUGGAAUGUCUUAAGCUUUUUUUCCCAUUCAUUUGGGUCCUGGGAUUAUGCUUAAUGUUAAAUUGUGAAUAUUUGGUCAUAGAUAGACACACAAACACAUUAUGUGUGUGUGUGUUCCAAAAUUUCAAUAAUUCAAUGAAUAAAUACUCUUAAUAACGAAUUUAUGAUAAUGGCAGCACCAUCACAAAACCACUAAUCGAGAGAUUAAGGCAGUAUAGGAAGAGUUCAUUAGGAAAUUGAAAAGCUCAAAAUAGUGAUAUGGGUUAAUUUGUAUGCGAUCAAUAACAUUACUCCAAUCGAGAUGUUUUGAUUUUUCUUUGAAAAGUUAACUAAUUUAGUUCUGCAGUAACUAAAAAAAACCCAAAAAGAAGAGCUGCUUUGGAGAUUUUGUUGAGUGAGAAGCAUAGACCUUGCUCGAGUGCCGGAGAUUGGACAGAUCCAUUAAAUCGACUGCGUUUUGGUUGAACCUCAACUCUACUUCGGAAUCACUUAGAUUCCAUCCUCGAGUGGAAUCUGGACGCAUUUUUAAAGCCAAAAUGUGGAAAACGAUGACAGAAAAGGAAAUGAAAAUAUUCGCAUAGCCAUUGCCGUUUUGAGGACAUCUCCAAGAGCACUACAAAA
rnacentral:lncRNA from 1 species